CCUACGGGGGGCUGCAGUGGGGAAUAUUGGACAAUGGGGGGAACCCUGAUCCAGCCAUGCCGCGUGUGUGAAGAAGGCCCUCGGGUUGUAAAGCACUUUCAGUGAGGAAGAACGCCUGGUGGUUAAUACCCAUCAGGAAAGACAUCACUCACAGAAGAAGCACCGGCUAACUCCGUGCCAGCAGCCGCGGUAAUACGGAGGUUGCGAGCGUUAAUCGGAAUUACUGGGCGUAAAGCGCGCGUAGGUGGCUUGAUAAGCCGGUUGUGAAAGCCCCGGGCUCAACCUGGGAACGGCAUCCGGAACUGUCAAGCUAGAGUGCAGGAGAGGAAGGUAGAAUUCCCGGUGUAGCGGUGAAAUGCGUAGAGAUCGGGAGGAAUACCAGUGGCGAAGGCGGCCUUCUGGACUGACACUGACACUGAGGUGCGAAAGCGUGGGUAGCAAACAGGAUUAGAUACCCCUGUAGUC
rnacentral:rRNA from 1 species